rnacentral:lncRNA from 1 species
ACGCGGAGGAGAAGGAAAGUCGCUCAAGCAGUGGACAGAGCGGAGAAAGCGACUUCGGCCGCAGAGAGAAGAAGCUGCCCAAGAAUGGAAAGGAAGAAAUAUAUCACAUCAUCUGUCUGUCCACAGGCUUUCCUUGGGGCUUAUGAAGUGAAUGAAGGAGGGAAGAAAGGAGAGACAGAGAAAAUAUGGAUUUCCUCAUGGUUGUGAUUCCUCUUCACUCUUUUGAAUUUGGAAGGAUGGCAUACACAUCUGAAAAAUACCACUACUUCCUUCAUUGGACUGCAAGGUAUUUCUGUUUGGAAAAGUAAUGGAGUCCAGUCAACUUCAUUGAUCGCCAAGGACUGUCAAAAUUAUAAAACUUGCUGUGGAGCUCUGACAUGCCAGAAGCCGCUAGAAAAAGAAGUUUGACAUUCAGAAACUUAUCAAGAGGUUCUACUCUUUGGAUAGAGACCAAAAUCAUACUUUGAAAAAGCCUGACAGGUUUCUUCGGAAAAGUGGCCAUCCAUGGAAUGAAUGAAAUGUUCUCUUUCUAUUCCAGGGAUUGCAGUGGCAAAGCUAGGCUAGGUCUUGGAGGCUGGUGUAAGGCGAUGUGGGUGAAGGCAGGAGGCUGAUGGAAAGACUGGGGGGAAGAAAAGCCGAAAUGGAUUCACGGUGCCUUGGAUGAAGGACGAGAGGGGAACUGCAAGCUCCUUCAACUGGUUCUGUCCGGUGAGAAGUGAUCAAGCUUGGGCUGACAAGAGGCUCAGGGAGCCCUCACGUUCUUUCGCUUUUUUACCUGCCAAUCAAACUGCUACAAGACAACACCCUGAUCUGGCAUGGACAUCGCGGGUCCAAGCCUGUAGCCCCAAAUCGGAUAAUCUCUGCAGCUGAUAACAAGCAAAAGAGAAGCCAGGCAACAGCCAUAUUAAAGAAGAAAACAAUCAACUCUGAGAUCCAACUUAGAAAUAAUGUUUCAUUCAAGAUAAGGCUCGUGGCUUAGGAGAUUGUGACCUGGCUUGCAUCAUUCUAAGACUUCUAUCGUCUGUUUUCAAAACCCAAGGAGGACCUCCUUUUCUGUGUGAUAGUUCCUCAUGCUUUGCCAGCCACUGGGUCUUUAAGGAAGCUUGCCAAGAGUUCCCGGCUGGGAAGGACAGUUCGAGUUCAUCAUAGACAAUGAGCUGGCACCACAGUUUAAGUGACUCACCAACCUGGUUGCCCACUUCAAAAUGUCAAGAACCACACUAUCUAAUUGAAAGAACUGUGUUUUAGCAAAGUGUAAUUGGAUCGCCUGGCAAGAUCAUCUCAAACUAUGUCUCUGACCUUGCCUUUCAGUGGCUAUUUUGAGCACAAGAGGAGAAAGGAAAUGAUUCCUGAAUUAUAUCUUGUUUUUAAAAAUUAAGAUUAAUUAAUACUUGGUUUUAUGUUCAUUCCAUUGUAGGAACUUAGUGAUUAUUACAAAACAGUCAAAAUAGGUCAUAGCAAAAUGAACGUUUAAGAUUAGGUUAAAACAUUCCUCUGAAAUUUUAGUAUUCACUUUUGAAGUGUCAAUUACUAUAUUUCUGUAAUUUCUCAUUUUUUUCUUGGCUUAGAGUCAAGAUGAAAAAUGAUAUUUGAAUCAAAGACAUUGUUUUGUUAUAUAGCCACUCCUUUCUAAAAUGCAAAUCCACCCUCCCCUCACCAAUGCUUUAUUCUUUGUGCGCGCACACACACACACACACACACACACACACACACACACACACAGACAUACACAGAACCAGCACCCAAAUGGUAGAGGAGGUCCUUCCAAGACUUCUAGGACCUGGAUCAUGUAAGCAGUAGAUGAGAAAAUGAAGUAAGAGAUAUAGAGUAAUAACAAUAAAAGUCAAUGAUUUCAUUUUACAAAAAAGUCAUUGUGUAGUACUCAGAUAUUUUUAAGAGCAAGUAUUAUUAUGACUAAAGUAUAUUAUACUUCUAAAUUAUUAUGAUUCUCAUCUAAUUUCAAGCCACACAUAGGCGCCAUUUGAAAGCAUUUUGUGUUACAACCUAUCAACAAAAAUCAACUAAUAGUUUUAUAACGUGCAUAGGUUUACCCCAUGGGGAAUUAAAAUUUUUAUCUGCAAGUAUUUCUGUUGUUGUGAGACUUUAGGACAAGACAACAUUUGGUGUUAACAUAGAAGAAUAUUCUAUGGCUUUUUUAGCUUUAAAGUUCAUUACUCUAAAAUAAAGUACACGUGGUAUUUUUUUCUUCCUAGUGUUCUCUUAUUAUAUGUAGAGUAUUUUCGGUUGUUGUUUUUAACGUAUACAUUAUUUUUAUUAAGUCAUUUCAUAAAAGAUAAGAUAUAUACUAAUAGACCCUUGGUUUUCUCCUAAUUUAAUUAUUUCAAGUCAAGCAAAAUUGGGCAAUUUUCUUUCAGGAAAAAAAAAAUAUUGAGCAUGAUUUUGAGGUAAAACUGAUUAUUUACAGCAUCUUUUCUCUAAUAGGCUAACAUUUAUGAUGGAUCUUAUUUCAAAGUUGAUUAUUCUCAAAGAAAAGUGGAGAUAUUAGAAUUUCCGAGUAAAUUGCAUUGUUUUAAAAAGUACUUUAAUGCAUUGUUCACAUUGUUGCCAGCUAUUGACCAAAAAAGAGAAGAAGAAAAAAGAAAUAAAAAAAGCAGUAUCUGCUCCAAACGUCAAGUUUUGCAGUUUGAAAGACUUGUACAUUAUAAUUGUUUUUUUCUUUUUUGGAAAGCAGUAGUAAUUAAUACCAAAGGCAUAGACAAUUUAGGGCCAUAACCUCCCUUCCCCCCUCUCCACCUUUUUUUUUUUUUUUUUUUUUUUUUAACUUUAACCAUGAUAGGCAUCUCUGCAAGGUAGGUUUUAACAUAUUUUUUUCCUAAUUUUUUUCCCUCCAUUCAGUAAGAAGGAUAAGCUUUUAGAGUACCCAGUCACCGUGGUAACUGCCAAAAAAAUUCUCCUGAAGUUUGAAGAGGUCAGCUAGCAGGGUCAACAACCCUGGCCUCUCUCUGAGCUCGGUCUAGCAUGCCCCAGCCUGCGGUUGGAGUGUCAGGCCAGAUCUGACCCUGGGAGGUGGACCAUUCUGGCUCUGAUAUAAAUUUUUCGAGUCAGUUCAUGGCCUGGACUCUCCAGGUGGCCUCCAAAAUCGAUUUUGACCCCCUGACCCUGUCUCACGGAGGCAUAGCAUCCACCCUAAGUAAGGAUUUAGCCAGGAAUGACAGCUUUCCACUGAGUGUUAUUGGGGACAGUAUAAACAGUUUGGAAAGCAAGUAAGGAGGUGUGAGGGCUAGCAAUCAUUAAAAGCACAUUAAAAAACAAUUUUUAAAAAUCUUUAUUAGAGAAAGUUGUAAAUGCAUAUCUGUUACAGAAUUCCUGUGAUUUGUAGAGUUUUCUAGUCAGUUUUGAAUAUAAAUAGGUCACAUAUCUUUAUCUUUUUGCAUACUUUGUUACAAAUAUGCAAAUAAGAUAGGCAUACUUGCUACAAAAUAGGUACAGCAGGAAUGUAAUAUGUUCAGAAAAGGCAAACUGGUUAUUAAAACACAUUAACAGGUAAGGAGUUUCUAAUAUUUUAAAUACUAAAAUUUUACAUGUGUAUUUUGAAGUUUUUAAAAUGGAAAAAUAAAGAACCUUUAAAAAACCCAACAGUGUGGAAUAAAGAUAAACUUGUUGCACUCAAGGUACAUUUCUACUUUGUAAAGCAAGAAGCCAAUACACUCAGUUGGAUAAAAAUGAGAGAAAAAUUGUAAAUAUAGAGAGUUACAGCUUAUAGAGCUGAAGAGGAAUAAAACAAAAAAAAGUGUCUCUGAAUAACUUUAUGUAUUUUCAACAGUUUAAGAUAUCAGAAACUUGGAAAAUAA